ACCAGCACAAUUUUACCCCAAAUGAUAUAUGGAACAUGGAUGAAACUGGUGUGAACACAGUGCAGGCCCCAGAGAAGAUAAUAGCCACAAAAGGAAUACGCCAGAUUGGAGCAAUGACCUCUGGAGAAAGGGGUAAGCUAGUGACCGUUGCAGUGGCCAUUAAUGCCCUGGGGAAUUCGAUCCCUCCAUUUUUUGUUUUUCCCCGCAAACGAUUUUACUCUCACUUCAUCCAUGAAGGGCCACCUGCAUCAGCUGGAGCAGCAAAUGGGUCUGGUUGGAUACAGGCAGAGGAAUUUUUGCAGUUCCUCCUCCACUUUGCCAACCAUACGAAGCCCUCACUGGACUCCAACGUACUUCUCUUACUGGACAAUCACGUGUCCCACCUGUCUGUCCCAGCCAUGGAUUUCUGUAGGGAACGGGGCAUCGUUCUACUUACUUUUCCGCCACACUGCACUCAUAAGCUCUGUCCCCUGGACAGAACAGUUUUUCGCUCUUUCAAAGGGAGGGUCAACACGCACCUGGACCACUGGAUGAAAGCUCACCCUGGCCAGAACGCCACAAUAUACGACCUCCCUGGGAUUGUUGCAAAAGCGUUGCAACAUUCAGCAACGCCUGAGAACAUCAUGUCAGGUUUCAGGUGCACUGGCAUCUGGCCCUACAGCCCUGAUGUGUUUGGAGAAAAUGACUUUGCUCCUGCAUAUGCAACCGACAGACCAGAGCCAACUACAUCCUCUGCAGGUUCUGCCACACUCCACCAGGACUCCUCCGCUCUCCACCAGGGCUCCUCCGCUCUCCACCAGGGCUACUCCGCUCUCCACCAGGGCUCCUCCGUUCUUCACCAGUCCGCUCUCCCCCAGGGGUCCUCCGCUCUCCACCAGGGCACCAGUGGUAUGUUGAAAAUGUUUCCACUUACUGUGAGAUUAACAAUUUGUUCAUUUGUUAGAUUUAUAAUUUGUUUAAUAACACUGAACACUGAAAAGUUUAUACAUACCUACAGAAACAGAGUGAAAAGAUGUCAAACAGUAUCAAAUGUUUAAAUGUGAAAAUAAAAGUUAAAUGA
rnacentral:lncRNA from 1 species